UACGUAGGGUGCAGGCGUUAAUCGGAAUUACUGAGCGUAAAGCGUGCGCAGGCGGUCUCUUAAGACAGGUGUGAAAUCCCCGGGCUUAACCUGGGAAUGGCAUUUGGGACUGCAAGGCUAGAGUGUGGCAGAGGAGACUGGAAUUCCUGGUGUAGCAGUGAAAUGCGUAGAUAUCAGGAGGAAUACCGAUGGCGAAGGCAGGUCUCUGGGCUGACACUGACGCUCAUGCACGAAAGCGUGGGGAGCAAACAGG
rnacentral:rRNA from 1 species